rnacentral:rRNA from 1 species
GGGUCAGUAGGUUGGUCGUGCCACCGGUACGUACUGGUCUCACUGAUUCCUCCUUCCUGAAGGACCGUAAUGCCAUUAAUUUGGUGUUGCGGGGAAACAGGACUGUUACUUUGAAAAAAUUAGAGUGUUUAAAGCAAGCUAACGCUUGAAUACAUUAGCAUGGAAUAAUGAAAUAGGACGAUCGAUCCUAUUCUGUUGGUUUCUAGGAUUGACGUA